rnacentral:lncRNA from 1 species
UUUAAAUUUUAGUUCAUUACGAAUUGAAUUUGUAAGGAAACAAAGAGAGACAAAAAGGAAACAAAGAGAAAAUAAAGAUUUUGAUAAUAUAGUAAAGAUAAAAUUACUAAAUUAUUCAUGUAUUAAAAGAAAAAAUACCCUUCUUUGAGAUACCUAGUAAUUGGUACCCCUCCCAAAGUGACAUGCUAUUGCAUGUCACAAUUUUAUAAAAAAAUAAAAUUUGAGCCAUUAAAAAGGAGUGAAUGAAAGGUAGCGAAAAAUAACAAGUAUAGAAGCACUACUUAUUAAUAGUAUCAAGUCAAUGGUAUUAUUAGAUUUUCGGCUAUUGGAUGAAAAAAUGUGUGAUUAGGAUGAUAGUGGUCUCCAAGGGUUGAGUGGGUAGUUCGCUGAAUACCAAUAAUUAGACUUAAAAAUUUUGGGCUAAUGGUUUGAAUCUAAUAAGUUAUUAAUGCUAAUAGUCCGUCAUGUUACAUUUGGUAUCAAAGCUAUGCUACUAGUGCGAGCCGAAAGAGUAGUGCGAUGAGUCUAAUAUCACUUGAUGAUUUUGGACUAUGUGUUUGUUUGGGUCAGCCGAGCAUGUUAAAGCUAUGUGUUGGGUCCAACGAGGACAAGCCUAACCGAGGAAAGGUGGACAUAUCACCCAAAUAUAUCGUACAUCAGUACUAAUGUAGUCUCUCUGGGGUUAGCUAUCGGACUGACUGCAGCAUUAGUGGCUUGUCGAUACAUUUGUAGAGUAUCGAAACGAGUCAGAGGCGUUUUGACGCGAAAUAGACGCGAAAAUAGACUCAGAGCUGUGAGAGUUGGAGUUCGAACACUGAAAUUUGCAAAAGCAGGAUUUCGAGUGUUGAGUAUCGGUACGUGAGAGGUGUACCGGUACCCCACAGAGGGAUUACUUGAGUUGUUGCUCUUGGG